UACGAAGGGGGCUAGCGUUGCUCGGAAUACUGGGCGUAAAGGGUGCGUAGGCGGCGCGGUAAGUCGGGUGUGAAAUCUCGGAGCUUAACUCCGAAACUGCAUUCGAUACUGCCGUGCUUGAGGACUGGAGAGGAGACUGGAAUUUACGGUGUAGCGGUGAAAUGCGUAGAUAUCGUAAGGAAGACCAGUUGGCGAAGGCGGGUCUCUGGACAUUCUGACGCUGAGGCACGAAGGUCAGGGGAGCAAACGGGG
rnacentral:rRNA from 1 species